ensembl:lincRNA
UUUUUUGCAUUUCUUUUCCAUGGGGAUGGUCUUGAUCCCUAUCUCCUGUACAGUGUUGUGAACCUCUAUUCAUAGUUCAUCAGGCACUCUGUCUAUCAGAUCUAGUCCCUUAAAUCUAUUUCUCACUUCCACUGUAUAAUUGUAAAGGAUUUGAUUUAGGUCAUACCUGGAUGGUCUAGUGGUUUUCCCUACUUUCUUUAAUUUAAGUCUGAAUUUGGCAAUAAGAAGUUCAUGAUCUGAGCCACAGUUAGCUCCCAGUCUUGUUUUUGCUGACUGUAUAGGGCUUCUCCAUCUUUGGCUGCAAACAAUAUAAUCAGUCUGAUUUCGGUAUUGAUCAUCUGGUGAUGUCCAUGUGUAGAGUCUUCUCUUGUGUUGUUGAAAGAGGGUGUCUGCCAUGACCAGUGCGUUCUCUUGGCAAAACUCUGUUAGCCUUUGUCCUGCUUCAUUCUGUACUCCAAGGCCAAAUUUUCCUGUUACUCCAAGUGUUUCUUGACUUCCUACUUUUGCAUUCCAGUCCCCUAUAAUGAAAAGGACAUCUUUUUUGGGUGUUAGUUCUAGAAGGUCUUGUAGGUCUUCAUAGAACCGUUCAAUGUCAGCUUUUCAGCAUUACCAGUCGGGGCAUAGGCUUGGAUUACCGUGAUAUUAAAUGGUUUGCCUUGGAUAGAAUUGUUACAGUGGGUUUUCUUUGUUUGGAAAUUUGAGAAGUUUGUGGCAGCUUUCCAACAGGUGCAAGUGUUGAAGGGUUCAGCGAGCGUGGGGUUAGUGACACUUCCAAAGGGAACAGUUUUCUAUUAUAUAACAGGUCCUGGCUGUUACUGAGCCUCCUCUGAAAUAUACAUAAUCUAUAAUCAGGACUCAGUUUCUCCCACUGAGAUGAUCCUUCUGAUGUUCUGUCAGAAGUUCAGCUUAGCCUGAAAUCUCAGUGCCAGACAUCCACGUGGACACUGUAGGCACCAUACAGGCAGUGGUCCUCAGCAUCAUCGACGUGGUUAUCUAGGUUUAUCAGGAGAGAAAAACCAGGGUUUUGCUGAAAAGAAAAUCAACGACUUUCUUUCCAACCUGUUGUUCCAGCCAAUCCCUUUGGGAAGAACAACUGGAAGACUUGGACCCCCACCCCCCGCCCCCACAAAUGCUUAAGCAUGCUUCUGAAGGUAACAGAGUUAUAAGAAAGUGAGCUUAUGGACUCGAGAUUGUGGGGAGGCAAGAAUCCCAGGGAGGCAAUUGGCAAUCCCAAAAGUAGUGGCUGAAAGGCUGGAAGCUGAGCAGGACUUUUAACAAACUCACAGGGCUAGGGGACAAAAGUUCCAAGUUCAGGGGCUGCCAGGGAGAAGGAGUGAAGAAAGGGCAUGGCAACCCUCUCCAGUAUUCUUGCCUGGAGAAUCCCAUGGACAGAGGAGCCUGGUAGGCUAUACACGUUCCUGGGGUUGCAAAGAGUCGGACAAGACUGAAGCGACUUAGCACGCAGGGAGAAGGAGAUUUAAUAAGUAACCAGUCUUACAGCUAGAACUCCAAAGACCUCACCCUGGGAGUAAGAGUGAACCAGCAGGACUUGUUCUAAUCAACUCAGUCUCUGUAUGGAUCGAGGUGGUCUGUGAAUGUUGUGCCCAUACUCUACACAG